GUUUGUGUUUGAGCUCCAAGGAACAUGGGAAGAGGAUCUGCAAGGAGACAGUUGUGAAGGACAGGAAGCAGCAAGAAGGCAACCUAAAUAAAACAGACUCCCUGCUGCUGCAGGACAGGUGUACAGCUGUGCUGAGAUGACCACAUCUGAAGCUCUUUCAGGAUUCACCUCAGCCAUUCUACUCUGAGAGCCAUGGACUCCUCGGGCUUCACGAUCAGAAUCAUCCAUGCUUCAUGAUCAGCAUCAAAUAGGACUCCUCCAGCAAUCCCCAACCACAGCAGUGCCAGGAAGAGAUGCUGCAUCAGGAAGGCAAUUUCCCUUUCUUUUUAACACAUUUUAAAUGAAUGAAUAAUUCAUCCCAAA